UUAUAAAUCCAGGUAUUCAGCAAUACCUGACUCAGGAAGAUUCUCAUGAUCCACUGGCCAGAAAAGAUCUCUAAUGAAGAACUAAAGAAAAGAACAGACCAGAAGCCCAUUGAAGUAGAUAUCCUUAAGAGGUGCUGAAUAUGAAUGUUCCUUCAGACUUGAAGACAUUUACAUACUCUCCCAAACCUCCCCCAGGAUGGCAGCAGGUGGGCUUCGAACCAGUCCAGAGCACACACCAUACAUUGAUGUAACAAGGCAGCCAUAGUCUAAAUCUAAAAUGCAAACCAAAUGUGCAGGUCACAAUUAUUAAUCUAUUUUUUUAAAGAUGAUUAUUUGAAACUGAGAGAUGUAUAUAUUUAUAGACUUAUUACACCAAAAUUAAAGGUUAAGAGUAAUUUGUUUUAUGAACAUCUAGUAAUGGCUUAUGAAGUACACUUUUCUAAGUAAUGAGACUUUGCCAUUACAGAAAAUGUAGACAAAUAGCCAGACCAACCUGUCUUCAAUGACACGACACACUUCAUGCUUCCAUAAGUUAAUGACGGUCCUGACUGUGCUGCAUUCAUUACCUUCUAUGUACAGCAUACCUUGCCAGAUACGAGACAGAUCUCUCAAGUUAAAAAUAUAAUGAAAUUUGGCUGGCGUUGGCAGCAUUUUGAUCUGAAUUUUACAAAACACGUCACUGUUAAUCAAUGGGAAACUGAAUGAGUCAAAAUACAAAAUAUUAUCGUAAAAAAAGAAAUGCAUAUAAAGCUUUGAUCAUAUUCACCUUUGUUCUUUGCCAAAGAAUACGAGUGCAUGGAACUAAGUAUUUGACAAUCUCUACAACUGGCUCUAAAAAUCUGGACUCACAGAAAUAGCCUUGUCCAAUGAUUCCUUCAAUCAAAAUUAACAGUUUUGUGUUCAACUUAAAACUUCCAGCAAAAUCAUGUGUUUAAAAAUAUAAUAAGUAAAAAAUGUGUCAUUUUAGUUUGAAUGUAUUACAUGACUGCUUGGUGAUGCGAUUUGAGCGCUGGACUGUCAUUCAGACUUAUCGAUGGGCCUGGGCUCAAACCUUGCCCGCUCCCAUCCCUGUUGUCCUGCAGGAAGUUUGGACUAGGUAGUAAAUUAUUUUCAACUCUGAAGGAACAUGCGAAACAUGUACAACAUUUUACAAACAAACAAACAUUUACAAAACUAAUGCUGAACAAACAGAUGUAGUCAAACUAAAUUUUCAUUUGUUUGGACCAAUAUAAUUAUGUCAUCUAUUUUAUCUCAUGUGUCAUGUAUUAAACAACCGAUAAGAAUUUAAAUCAUUUGAGCAAGUCUCUACAGCGUCUUGUUAAAACCUACAUCUUGUUUUGAUGGUCCUGGGUUCUGACCCUGCCCACUAAAAUUCCCAGACAUUCUGCAUUUACUUACUUGACGCUAGUUCUAUACACUUACUAAGUUGGAGAUAGUUUUAACAAGAAAAACAUUAAAAAUACUGUAAAAAAAAAAAAUACCUACACGAAGUGUAAUUGUAUCAGUUAGUUUGGAUCAGUCAUGUAAUUAAAUUUGUAAAUGAUCUAGACCAACAACAUUAAAUCUAAGCGAUUAAAAAUGUUUUUACCAAU